CAAGCUCAGUAUUUUUAGUUAUUUAUAGAUUUAUUUCUCUCGUUCAAGAUUAAAUUGGGAAAUUUUUUUCUUUUUUUUCUUUUUUUUUUUUUUUUUUUUUUUUUUUUACGAUAAAAAAUUUUCAACACAAAUCUUUGCAAGUUUAUCUAAUUAUGAGAAACGUGAAACGUGAAAUCAAUGGCAGAACUAUUCUGCGUGUUUACCCUGGGAAUUUUCCUGGAAAUUUUGUUUGCCUCGUAAAUGCAAUUUCAAUUUAAUUAACAAUCGCGCGUAUUGUAAAUAUCCUUGGGGGAGAAUAUUGCGUGUUGUAAAAAUAUUUUUAUAAAAUCAUCUUGAAAGAAAAGAUUUAAACGUGGAAGAUUUUAACGUGGAAUUAUAAUUGUAUUUUACGCGGUAUUUCAUAAUUAUUUAGAAAAUAAAAAUUUCCGUGAAAAUUAUAUCUCGCUUCAGGAUAGCACAGCAGCGCCAUUCUCGUUGAGCACCUCGCUUUCACGUGGGUGUUUAGCUCUUUCUUCGUCAUUCAACCCGAAUGUCAUUGUUUUCAUCUCUGUUGGUCGUAUUGAUCCGGGAUGUCCUGAUGUUCCACAGGGCGGUCGAUCCUGCUCUAUAUAUUCGUUUCCUAGCCGCCUCGUGAAUACUUGUAUAUGUAAUAAUAAAGAGGAUGCACUUAGCUUGAGUAAAACAAUAUAAUAUAACAGUGUGUCAUUUUAUUUUUACUUUGCGCGUUUUCUUUUUUUUUUUCUUUUUCGAUAAAGAAAAUUUCCUCUCGUUUUAUAAUUGAACGGCAAGGCAAAGGAAAAAAAAAAAAAAACGAAUAAGAAAUUGCUCUUCCGAGAAAAUAUCUUUCCCUGAGAAAAUUUUGAUUUUAUAUCACAAAUCUUAUGUUUAUGUUUGCAGAUCACGAUUCAAGUUGUUCCUAACAUUGUUAAAGAGUUAUCGUAUCGUAUGCACCAAUACACGACCCAUCUGUCUGUGAAAAUGCCAAAGUGUGUAUCUUCCAUCGGCGCGUGAAAAGGAUAGAAAAGAAAUGGUUAUUAUCUCGUAUAAAAAUGAGUUUAAUAAAUAACAGCUAACAACGAAAUAAAUAAGGCUCACACUUCGUAAACUGUAUACAUAUAGCACGUGUAACACGUACUCACGUAUAUACAAUACAUGGAACACGCAAUACG